rnacentral:rRNA from 1 species
UGUUGGCUUAGAAGCAGCCAUCAUUUAAAGAAAGCGUAAUAGCUCACUGGUCGAGUCGGCCUGCGCGGAAGAUGUAACGGGGCUAAACCAUGCACCGAAGCUGCGGCAGCGACACUCAGGUGUUGUUGGGUAGGGGAGCGUUCUGUAAGCCUGUGAAGGUGUGUCGUGAGGCAUGCUGGAGGUAUCAGAAGUGCGAAUGCUGACAUAAGUAACGAUAAAGCGGGUGAAAAGCCCGCUCGCCGGAAGACCAAGGGUUCCUGUCCAACGUUAAUCGGGGCAGGGUGAGUCGACCCCUAAGGCGAGGCCGAAAGGCGUAGUCGAUGGGAAACGGGUUAAUAUUCCCGUACUUGGUGUUACUGCGAAGGGGGGACGGAGAAGGCUAUGUUGGCCGGGCGACGGUUGUCCCGGUUUAAGCGUGUAGGUGUGUGUUCCAGGUAAAUCCGGUUCACUUUAACACUGAGGCGUGAUGACGAGGCACUACGGUGCUGAAGCAACAAAUGCCCUGCUUCCAGGAAAAGCCUCUAAGCAUCAGGUAACAUCAAAUCGUACCCCAAACCGACACAGGUGGUCAGGUAGAGAAUACCAAGGCGCUUGAGAGAACUCGGGUGAAGGAACUAGGCAAAAUGGUGCCGUAACUUCGGGAGAAGGCACGCUGACAC